rnacentral:rRNA from 1 species
UAGGGAAUCUUCGGCAAUGGACGAAAGUCUGACCGAGCAACGCCGCGUGAGUGAAGAAGGUUUUCGGAUCGUAAAACUCUGUUGGUAGAGAAGAACGUUGGUGAGAGUGGAAAGCUCAUCAAGUGACGGUAACUACCCAGAAAGGGACGGCUAACUACGUGCCAGCAGCCGCGGUAAUACGUAGGUCCCGAGCGUUGUCCGGAUUUAUUGGGCGUAAAGCGAGCGCAGGUGGUUUAUUAAGUCUGGUGUAAAAGGCAGUGGCUCAACCAUUGUAUGCAUUGGAAACUGGUAGACUUGAGUGCAGGAGAGGAGAGUGGAAUUCCAUGUGUAGCGGUGAAAUGCGUAGAUAUAUGGAGGAAGCACCGGUGGCGAAAAGCGGCUCUCUGGCCUGUAACUGACACUGAGGCUCGAAAGCGUGGGGAGCAAACAGGAUUAGAUACCCUGGUAGUCCACGCCGUAAACGAUGAGUGCUAGAUGUAGGGAGCUAUAAGUUCUCUGUAUCGCAGCUAACGCAAUAAGCACUCCGCCUGGGGAGUACGACCGCAAGGUUGAAAC